UUCUGCUGGGUGUCCCAACCAAUUUCAAAAUUAAAUCUUCAGUUAAAAUUAGAUUUUGCGAUUACUGAAAAUUUAGUUUGAAUUGGCAUGAAAAGAAAUAUGAAAAAAGAGCUAGCCUGGCUCUGGGAAUUGAGUUUAACUGACUUACCCAGGGCCACAUAAGUAUCAGAAGUGGGAUUUGAACCUGGACCUUCCUCUCUCCAUUUCUAGCACUCUCUCCAUUACACUGAACAGGAUCCUUGUUACUUUUGGGUCUCACAGCAGCCCUUAGAGGUACAUACUCCAGAUAUUAUUUUCCUUGUUUUACAAAGGAAGAAAAUGAGAAUCAGAGAACUUUACAGAAUCAUACAUUCAGGAGCUAGGUAAGACCUCAGUGACCAUCUAAUCAUACCUCUCAUUUUUGUAGACAGGAAAAUGUAGAGGUUAUGUGACUUGACCAUAGUCAUACAUGUAGGAAGUAUCAAAGACAAAAUUUGAAUCCACAUCUUUUGAACUCCAAGCAUAUCACUCUCUACAGCUACACACUGUCUUUAUUUAUGCAUUUCUAUCCCAGACAAUUCAAUUAUACCUUCAAUAAUUCUAUAAUCUAUCUUGAUCUGGUCUUAGAAGAUUAUAAAAAUGUCCUUGCUAUACUCAGAACCCAGGAAAUUGCACAGAAAUGGGUAUCAAGAUAGGAACUGUUAAAUUCUCUUUCCCUAGCUCAAUAACAAAACCCCCAUAACACCUCUUGUCCCUUCUAGUACCUGAGAUCAGCAACAAAAAUAUUGUGCUUGGCAGAUGGAUGAUUGAGAAGGAACAAGAAGAGGACCAAAACAGAUUUUUUUGUUGGAUGAAUGAAUGAAUGAAUGAUUCCAGAGAGCAGAAUGACGAAUGAUGAAUGGAAAUUAUAAGGAGAUAAAUUUCAGGGCAAAUUCCUUUUUCUGUCACUGUAUUGAUAGAGGUAUAGGCCUCAUGACCAAUGAUAGAGACACAAGGCUCCUUUCCAAUGGGCCAUAGCUGUUUGACCCAAAAGUCCUAAUUCUAGUCAUGGUCGGCAGUUCAUGAAUUUAAGGGACGUGAUGAAAGGGGAUUCCCUGUCACUGAGGCAUGGGGUUCAGGCCCUCAGCCCUGAAGGCAUGAUGUCCUGCCCACAAAGUGGCAUCUGCUGAGGGUCCCAGGCCCAGCCAUGAUGAAGGGUUAAUGUAUAAGAUCUUCCCUACCCACAGCCCAAGCCAAGGGACAAGGAACUUCCCUAAUGUAUUGUUCUGGGAUUUGUUUCAACCCAGACCCGCCUUGGGGAACUAUUCCUUAAAAACAAGUCUUGAGGUAAACAUCCAGGAACUUGGCCAGUUCCUGGGUAUUGACUCAAGACAUUUUUGACAUAACAAAGAUUGUUCUUGAGGUCAGAGAGUUUCCACCAAAACUCUCAGGUCCUUAGGAUUAAUCACCUAUUCCCGGGCUCUCUGCCUUCUUUGUGUAAGGAUGAUAAAAAGGGUCUUUCUUGGGAAAGUGACUUUGGGAGUCUCCUCCAUAGAGGACACUCUGCUGUAGGGACUUUCCCGACCAAGAUCCUGACUGCUGUGAUACAGGACUCCCCCAGCCAGAUGUGCAGGAGUUGGUGCUUCCUCGGAUUGCUCUGCCACACAUUACUCCAGCUGCUGGCAGUUGGCAACUGAACAGGGAUUCUCAGUCUUUGGAUGGGAAAGCUGUAGACCCCGGGGGAGUAGAAGAGGUUAAGAGAGACACAGUGGCACCUUACUAGAACCAUGGGAAAAGGAUGAAGGAAAACAUAAGAGGAGGAGGCAGGAUGAGCAACAGACAUUUUACCUUUGUCACUACUCUGAAGACUGAGGAGUUUGUCCUAAAGCCUGAAUAUGUGUACUUUAAGAGGUGUGAACCUAGAGCUUACUAGUUGUGCCCCAAAAUGAAAUUCUGGUGCUCUUCUACUGCAAAAAAGUGGGCUAUCAAUCAGUCAGUCAAUAAACAUUGAUGAAGAAUUUACUACUUGUCAGGCAUAGGACAGCUGUUUAUUUCCUCUACCACAAAAAGAAAUGCUUAAAACACAAAGGAUUUAUAGAACAUAUUAACAGACACUUAAAACAAAAAACAAUAAUCCAUCAUCAUAGUAUUAAAGUCAAGGCACUUUGUGAGACUACAGAAUGGAGAUUUUCUUUUCUUUUCUGACUGGUGCUAUCUGUACAACUGAGAAGUCCAGAUCUCCUGGAAAGCCAGGGCACUUGAGACAUUAUUAAUCCUCUGAGCAUUACCCUGGUCAUGUCUCCUGGCAGUGGAACAUCUUCUCUGAGAAGCAGUGUUACUGCAGAAAUCACCUCCGUGUGGGCAGCCAUCGGUGACUCAGGAACUUCCAACUGCUGGAACUCACGAGAUAGCCAUCAAGUCGGGGAUGACAAUUCUCAGGGCUGUGGUUCAAUGCCUCCCACUCAGGAAUAGAAACCAAAGCAGAAGAGGAGGUGACAAACCAUCACACUGUCAUAAGAUGACAUUAAAUAAACAUAGAGAAGAGACUUGAAAUCUGAUCUCAGGCUCACUCAGGCAAAGCGUAUGGUCUUGCUGUGGUGUGCUCAUAGAGACCAUGACUGUUGGAGGAGGGGAGGAUUGAGAAAGUGAGAUGAUAAGUCAGUCAAUUAAUCAAUCAAUAGACCUUAAUUAAGUACAGACUCUGUGGCCAGCACAGUUCUAGGUGUUGGAGCUACAAAUAAAGAAAAAGAAAUAAUCUUUACUCGUAAAGACCUUACAUGAGUGAGAGGGAGAACCAUAGAGUUUUCUAUAAUUCUUUGUCAUUGUUGUUGUUUUUGCUUUUUAUAAUUCUUAUAAUCUAAUGAGGGGGGUAGCUUUUUUCAUCUCAGUCACCAAUUAUCUUUGGCACAGCCCCAGCCCCAAUUCAUGGGGAUCAAUAAGGAAUACAUGAGUCAUUCCAAAACAUAAGUCCAUUGCUGAGCCAGAUCAUGUGUCCAUCUCUGUGGAUGGCAUCCAUGAUGCCACACUGAAUGCCUCACUCUGUGGGAGCUACCCUAAUCCACCAAAUGGGGGGCGUGGAGUACUGAUUUCCUUUGUUAUACUCCCUCUGUACGUUUAAAUAUUUGUUCUUCCCAGCAAAUCAAAUGCAUACUUGUUCAUAUCUCCAGUUCUUUGUAGUACUCGGGGCAUUUGGAAAGGCUCAAGCAUUAUGCUUUUUAAAAAUGCCUUAUGCUCAAAAAUGUCAACAGAGUCUACAUGAUAUAGCUCAUUUAAAAAAUAAAUUUUAUUGAUAUCAUUUUGGCAUAGCCCAAGUUUCCCUCAUAUUCUCUCCACCUCUUGCACAGAAAGUCAUCUCAUAUAACAAAGGAUUUUUUAUAAAUAAAAAAGUAGAAAAAGAGGAAAAAUUAGCCAAAUUAAUCAAUACAUUAAAAAAAACCUGACAGUGUAUUAAAUGUUUCACACCUGUAGAUCUCUAACUCUGCAAAGUAAUAGGAGGAGAUGCUUAUCAUUGUUCUUUUAUUUAUAGACCUUUGUAUUUAUAGAUCUCUCAUCUCUUCAUUUAAAAAGCCUAUGUUUUGUUUGCUUCUCUCCUUUCUUACUGACAAUAAUCUAGUAUAGGCCCUCAUCACCUCAUUCUUCUAUUAAGGGCUAAGUGGGAUAAGAAUAAUCCCUCUCAAGUGCUUAAGUUUAAUCAAUUAAUCAAUCAACCGUGCAUUUGUUAAAUAUUAAUUAUAUGCUAGUCACGCUAAUUACUAGAGACACAAAAAAGUAAAAAACAAAAACAGGCCUUGACAAUAUGUAUAUAAA